rnacentral:misc_RNA from 1 species
ACAAGUCAGUACUAAUUUGUUCAAAUUCAAGUUUUAGUUCAAGCUCAAGUUAUAAUUUUUUCAUUCAUUAAUUUCACUAAUUUUCUCAUUUGUUCAAAUUUGUUAAUUAGUACUAAUUCUUACUAUAGUAAGAAUGUUUAUCAUUAUUGAACGUGACAUGUAAUGCAUGGCAUAUACAAUAAUAAUACAAUGAUUAUUUUUUUCUCUUUUAUUCUUUUUAAAUAAGUCAGCUAUUCUUUAUAAUUUAAAUUUUUACAUUUUAUUUUUUAGGGGGCACAAAAGAAAUAUUAUUUUGUCAAUAAAGUCAAUAAAAGGGAAGAUAAUAUGCUUUUAGACUGCUCUACAGAUUCACCUUCUAUAUCUCAAGUUGACGAUUCCGCUGUUGAUUUUAAAAAUGAGGCAACUUACCAUGAAAAUGCUGACAAGUUUUUAAAUAACUUUAAUUUUUCAAAUGAUCACGAUUUUUUCCAAAGUUUAGACGAUUUAAGUCAAGAUGAUGACCAAAACUCUAACUUGGAAAAUUCUAACUUAGAGCAGCUUUCAUUAAAAGACAAACUCAUUUUAUGGUAUAUACAGUAUAAUGUAUCAAAAAAUGCAUUUUCAGCGUUGUUAAAAAUUAUUGGUCCUGAUAAUAAUUUACCCAUUUGCGCUGCCACUUUACUUAGAAAGAUCAAAUGUUAUAAUAAAAAUUAUACAAAUGCAAACAAAUCGUACCACUAUUUUGGAAUUCAAGAUAAUAUAAAAAAUAGAAUUGAUGCUGGGCUAAAUGCUGAAUUGAUUCCUGAAGGAUCUCAGUAUCAAAAAUUAAAGCAGGAUGUUUAUGUUGACGGUGGAGAAACUCUUGUAUCGCUAGCAAUAAAUGUAGAUGGUGUUAAGCUUCAAAAUUCUACCAACAAAUCAAUGUGGCCUAUACUUUGUAGAGUAAAUGAAUCUCUAGAUCAAACUCCAUUUGUUGCAGUUGAAUUCAUAGAGGAAGAUGGCAGUGUGGAUUAUGUGUGCGAAUGUUGGCUAGUCGGAGAGACCCAAUGUUGGUGGCCCCCAUACAAAGGAACAAGAAUUAAUCGGGUGAGAACCAAGUGUGAAAUUCCCGGAGAUGAUUGGAGCUUGGUUGGCGUGCGAAUACUAGGAGAAGCAGUUGAUGAUGAAAAAACAGCAAAAACAAGGGCCAAACAGGCUAAAGACUCGUCUUCAUUUGAGGAAAAAGCACCAGAAAGUAGAAAAAAAUUCUUAACUUCUCGUUAUGAAUGUGGAUCGACUUCAGAAAAUCCAAAAGGACAAACAAAUAAAGCUAAUAAUUUAUUUAGUCCUAUGUCAUCAGCAAUGUCAAAUUCUAAUGAAAGUUCUUUGAGUUUUUCCAAAGUUACCUCUGAGUUUCCUUUUACAACAAAUAAAAUGUUGCCUCCAUUAAAACAUCUUAAUAGUUCUAAUUCAAGCUGUAAAUCCGCUACUGAACUAAUUUCUAAGCUACAUUCACAAGAAAAAUCCUGGGGUGCACAUCCUGUGAUAGAAGGUAAUCCAGUAAAAUGUGUUUCAACCAAUACCAAUAGUGAAAUCAAUGAUGUUAAACGCCGCCUAACAAGUAUUGAAUAUGAAAUUAAACAACUGAAAAAUAUUAUGAUGGAAGUAAAAGGUUUACUUCAAGAAAGAAAUACUCCCAUUUCAAAUCCAAUAACUUUCAAUGUUGUUUCGUCUCCGGAGGAAUUUAGAGUGUUGAUUGAUAGAUUAAAAGAUGUUGAGAUCAGAAAAGACUUUGUCCAAUGGCUUAGUUACUCCAACGCUGCAACUUUAGAAAAAUCUAUAAGUCGAAUGAUGUCGUCUCUAUUUACAUCUGAAAUGGCAAAAGAGACAAACAGAUCUGGCAAAAUGGCCAUGAAUUAAAUUGAGGAUCUAGUGAAAGACUAUGGGGUCAUCCAGAAAUGAUGCCAGUAAAUGAUUUAGUUAAGAAAAGUAAUCAAUCUAUCAUAUUUCUCUUUAGAAAGUGUAAGAAAAAAGCAUUGUAAUGCUGAAAAUCUGUUAAUUGAGCGUGCUUUGACUACAUAUUUCAUAAAUUCGAGAGACAUAGAUGUUUGUUGAUUGUUUUCAUAUUAAAAUGUGUGACGAAAAAGCUGUUCUACUGUUGCAUCUUGUGUAUAUUGCACCCAAUGUCUACAUCAUUGUAAAAAAAUAUUUAAAGAAAGUAAGAAGAUACUAAAAAUCUUGGUAUUGAGCGAUUCAAGACCAUAUACUUUUUUAAUUCAACCGACAAAUAAACCAAUUGUUGAAGUAUUAUGAGAGCCAAAGCGAUUAACUUUAUUAAUUCAACCGACAAAAGAUGUUUUGUGUAUAAAUCUCAAAAGAACAAAUAAUAUUUUCAAUAUUUAUUUUUAAUGUAUUUGUUAAUAGCAAUUAUUUUAAAAUAAAUUCAUUUU